GACGAACGCUGGCGGCGUGCUUAACACAUGCAAGUCGAACGGUAAGGCCCUUCUUUUGUUGGGUGCUCGAGUAGCGAACGGGUAAGUAACACGUGAGUAACCUGCCCUUUACUUUUGGAUAACUUCAGGUAACUGGGGCUAAUACCGUAUACUAGCUCCUGCUGCAUGGUGGUGGUUGGCUAGUUUCGUCGGUGGGGGAUGGACUCGCGGCUUAUCAGCUUGUUGGUGGGGUAGUGGCUUACAAAGGCUUUGACGGGUAGCCGGCCUGAGAGGGUGACCGGCAACAUGGGGACUGGGAUACGGCCAAGACUCUUACGGGAGGAAGAAGUGGGGAAUAUUGAAAAAUGGGCGGAAGCCGGAUGCAGAAAGGCGGGGGGCGGGAUGACGGCCUUCGGGUGUUAAACCGCUUUAGCAGGGGACGAAGCGUGAGUGACGGUAAUGGGUAAAGAAGCACCGGCUAACUACGUG
rnacentral:rRNA from 1 species